rnacentral:rRNA from 1 species
AAAAGUGAAGCCCUCAACACCGCCACCCACACCAACCCCUGCUCUGAAGGCCAUGACUACUGGUCCGGGGUGUGUCAGUUCGAGGGCUACGGCUACGUGCCUGAGGGGUCGUCCGGCGUGUCGGUCAUGCAGAUUCACAACCAGGAGGGAGCCUCGCACUCGACGGUGCUGAUGUUGCACGUCUACGACGGCGUCCUGCGCUUCUACAGCGGGACGACGGUCGAGCCCGACAUCUACAAACGGUGGUUCCGCCUAAACGUGGUGCAUGACGUCCGGGCAUCCACAGUGGCCGUGUACGUCGACGGCGAGCACAAGUUCGGCACCAACGUGACCCCUAGCGAGUCCUACUACUUCAAGUUCGGGGUGUACAUGCAGCACCACGACCAGUCCAGCUGCAUGGAGUCACGGUGGAUGAACGUCACGCUCUACACUAAGCUAUGA